UACGAAGGGGGCUAGCGUUGUUCGGAAUCACUGGGCGUAAAGGGCGCGUAGGCGGCCGAUCAAGUCGGGGGUGAAAGCCUGUGGCUCAACCACAGAAUGGCCUUCGAUACUGUUUGGCUUGAGAUCGGAAGAGGUCAGUGGAACUGCGAGUGUAGAGGUGAAAUUCGUAGAUAUUCGCAAGAACACCAGUGGCGAAGGCGGCUGACUGGUCCGGUUCUGGCGCUGAGGCGCGAAAGCUGGGGGAGCGAACGGG
rnacentral:rRNA from 1 species